rnacentral:rRNA from 1 species
CCUACGGGAGGCAGCAGUAGGGAAUCUUCGGCAAUGGACGAAAGUCUGACCGAGCAACGCCGCGUGAGUGAAGAAGGUUUUCGGAUCGUAAAACUCUGUUGGUAGAGAAGAACGUUGGUGAGAGUGGAAAGCUCAUCAAGUGACGGUAACUACCCAGAAAGGGACGGCUAACUACGUGCCAGCAGCCGCGGUAAUACGUAGGUCCCGAGCGUUGUCCGGAUUUAUUGGGCGUAAAGCGAGCGCAGGUGGUUUAUUAAGUCUGGUGUAAAAGGCAGUGGCUCAACCAUUGUAUGCAUUGGAAACUGGUAGACUUGAGUGCAGGAGAGGGGAGUGGAAUUCCUAGUGUAGCGGUGAAAUGCGUAGAGAUUAGGAGGAACACCAGUGGCGAAGGCGGCUUACUGGACUGUAACUGACGUUGAGGCUCGAAAGCGUGGGGAGCAAACAGGAUUAGAUACCCCUGUAGUC